rnacentral:rRNA from 1 species
UACGUAGGGGGCAAGCGUUGUCCGGAUUCAUUGGGCGUAAAGAGCGUGUAGGCGGCCAGGUAGGUCGGUUGUGAAAACUGGAGGCUCAACCUUCAGAGGUCGACCGAAACCAUCUGGCUAGAGUCCGGGAGAGGAGAGUGGAAUUCCUGGUGUAGCGGUGAAAUGCGCAGAUAUCAGGAGGAACACCGGUGGCGAAGGCGGCAUCCUGGACCAACACUGACACUGAAAAGCGAAAGCCAGGGGAGCAAACGGG